rnacentral:lncRNA from 1 species
CCAGUAGCGAUGAGUCGAUCUCGAACAGUUCUUGUUAAAAGCUUCCUGGAUGGCCACCACUCUCUUUUUAGGAUUGUCUUGUAUGCAAUGGGUUUCCUUCUGACCAACCUUCAUUAUGCUUGAUUUUCCCUAGCAAAUGGUAUAGGGGGUCUUCAUUAUCUCGGAAGGUCUUUAACAGCGUUUAUUGCCUGAUUUUUAUUCUCAAAACGACUUAUAGUGGAAUGGUGAUGACCAACAAUACGUUCAGUUGUUAC